UACGAAGGGUGCAAGCGUUAAUCGGAAUUACUGGGCGUAAAGCGUGCGUAGGCGGUUUCUUAAGUCUGCUGUGAAAGCCCUGGGCUCAACCUGGGAAUGGCGGUGGAUACUGAGAAGCUGGAGUACGGUAGAGGAAGGUGGAAUUCCCGGUGUAGCGGUGAAAUGCGUAGAGAUCGGGAGGAACAUCAGUGGCGAAGGCGGCCUUCUGGACCAGUACUGACGCUGAGGCACGAAAGCGUGGGGAGCAAACAGG
rnacentral:rRNA from 1 species